GACGAACGCUGGCGGCGUGCCUAAUACAUGCAAGUAGAACGCUGAAGAGAGGAGCUUGCUCUUCUUGGAUGAGUUGCGAACGGGUGAGUAACGCGUAGGUAACCUGCCUGGUAGCGGGGGAUAACUAUUGGAAACGAUAGCUAAUACCGCAUAAAAUUGAUUAUUGCAUGAUAAUUAAUUGAAAGAUGCAAUUGCAUCACUACCAGAUGGACCUGCGUUGUAUUAGCUAGUUGGUGAGGUAACGGCUCACCAAGGCGACGAUACAUAGCCGACCUGAGAGGGUGAUCGGCCACACUGGGACUGAGACACGGCCCAGACUCCUACGGGAGGCAGCAGUAGGGAAUCUUCGGCAAUGGGGGGAACCCUGACCGAGCAACGCCGCGUGAGUGAAGAAGGUUUUCGGAUCGCAAAGCUCUGUUGUAAGAGAAGAACGGGUGUGAGAGUGGAAAGUUCACACUGUGACGGUAUCUUACCAGAAAGGGACGGCUAACUACGUGCCAGCAGCCGCGGUAAUACGUAGGUCCCGAGCGUUGUCCGGAUUUAUUGGGCGUAAAGCGAGCGCAGGCGGUUAGAUAAGUCUGAAGUUAAAGGCUGUGGCUUAACCAUAGUAUGCUUUGGAAACUGUUUAACUUGAGUGCAGAAGGGGAGAGUGGAAUUCCAUGUGUAGCGGUGAAAUGCGUAGAUAUAUGGAGGAACACCGGUGGCGAAAGCGGCUCUCUGGUCUGUAACUGACGCUGAGGCUCGAAAGCGUGGGGAGCAAGCAGGAUUAGAUACCCUGGUAGUCCACGCCGUAAACGAUGAGUGCUAGGUGUUAGGCCCUUUCCGGGGCUUAGUGCCGCAGCUAACGCAUUAAGCACUCCGCCUGGGGAGUACGACCGCAAGGUUGAAACUCAAAGGAAUUGACGGGGGCCCGCACAAGCGGUGGAGCAUGUGGUUUAAUUCGAAGCAACGCGAAGAACCUUACCAGGUCUUGACAUCCCUCUGAUCGCUCUAGAGAUAGAGUUUUCCUUCGGGACAGAGGUGACAGGUGGUGCAUGGUUGUCGUCAGCUCGUGUCGUGAGAUGUUGGGUUAAGUCCCGCAACGAGCGCAACCCCUAUUGUUAGUUGCCAUCAUUCAGUUGGGCACUCUAGCGAGACUGCCGGUAAUAAACCGGAGGAAGGUGGGGAUGACGUCAAAUCAUCAUGCCCCUUAUGACCUGGGCUACACACGCGCUACAAUGGCUGGUACAACGAGUCGCAAGCCGGUGACGGCAAGCUAAUCUCUGAAAGCCAGUCUCAGUUCGGAUUGUAGGCUGCAACUCGCCUACAUGAAGUCGGAAUCGCUAGUAAUCGCGGAUCAGCACGCCGCGGUGAAUACGUUCCCGGGCCU
rnacentral:rRNA from 1 species